CAACCAUCAAGCCCCGCUUGGUAUUGGACGCGGUCGCCGCGACCCGUCCGCAACCCGUUGGCGGUACUGUCUGGACCCAAGCGUAGCAAGAAUUUCAUUCGCUUCGGGCCUCCCGGCGGCGCCUGCCGGCAAAGAACCCCCCUCUGAA
rnacentral:misc_RNA from 1 species